UCUGUAGUCCUGCAGGCUAUUGACGACGCCUCCUGCGCAGGGCUGAAAAACCUGCUCUUGGGAACUGUAAACAAAUGCCUGCAUAACAAGAAAGAUGCUAUUCAGUAUUUCCAGGUGGCCUUGCGCGAUGAGAUGGGCCUGCUGAGCAACUCGUACGUGCAGCCUUACGCCUGCUACGAACUGGGCUGCAUGCUCCUCAACGACACCGAGUCUGCAGCCAAAGGCCACGCGUUGAUGCUUCAGGCGAAGGAGGACUAUGCAGGCUAUGAUUUUGAGAACAGGCUUCACGUACGGAUCCAUUCGGCUCUCGCCUUCAUGCGAGCUGCGGCUCAACCUUGAAGCGUGUUGCCUUUAGCAGGGAAAAAAAAAGCCAAACAAUAAGACCGUUUUAGGCCCAAGUGUUUGAAGUAUUUGUUUUUGUGGCGUAAUUUUGAACCUUAUUCUGUGGUUUGCAUGGAAAAGGUUUACUGAUCUUUGCAAUACACUGCACAUUUUUCCCCCAUGUGGAAAUGUUUUGCACGUCUUUGAGAAUUUUUUACAGUUCACAUGCACAACUGUACUCUUUGCUGUGAACAAGAUCCUCUUAGAUAGUGUUUUAAGAUAUUAAAAUUAUUUUUAUUGGACACUUUAA